CAGUAUAUUAAUAUUUAGAACGUAGAUAUUGAUAUUGUUGUUCUUAGAGUGAAAGUAUAAAUGUUUUCAAGCGAUUCUCUACUCAUAUUGCUCACCUAAAAGUGCUAAUUUGCUUUGUUUUUCCUUUAACUUCUUAAUUACGAAAAAUGAAAUCAGAAACUCAGAAUUUCUUUUGUGAACGGGGUGAACGCGGUAUAUGCUUGCUACAUGGAAAACAAGAACGGACACUAUAGAAAUUUGAUUAAAGGUGCUCUGGCAAUAGCUGAGGCGAAAGUAUCUUAUCCGGACGAUGAAAGUCUGAAAAGUCUUUCUCAGUGUGGUGUUCUGGUUUUUCCGUUGCUUCCACGAUGAAAACUUCAAGUUCUUUGUGAUAAUCAAGCAUCAUUAGUAUAUUUUUUACAUAGUUCAAGAUUUCAAGUAUAUUUAUGUUUAUUUAAAAUAAUAUAGAAGUUAAUAUAGUGGAUAAUUAGUAAAGUAAUAUUCUAAUAAAUUUAAACAAAACUA